UACGUAGGGCGCAAGCGUUAUCCGGAAUUAUUGGGCGUAAAGAGCUCGUAGGCGGUUUGUCGCGUCUGCUGUGAAAGCCCGGGGCUCAACCCCGGACUUGCAGUGGGUACGGGCAGACUAGAGUGUGGUAGGGGAGACUGGAAUUCCUGGUGUAGCGGUGGAAUGCGCAGAUAUCAGGAGGAACACCGAUGGCGAAGGCAGGUCUCUGGGCCACUACUGACGCUGAGAAGCGAAAGCAUGGGGAGCGAACAGG
rnacentral:rRNA from 1 species